rnacentral:rRNA from 1 species
AGAGCACUCCUACGGGAGGCAGCAGUGGGGAAUAGUUGCACAAUGGGGCGCAAGCCUGAUGCAGCCAUGCCGCGUGUAUGAAGAAGGCCUUCGGGUUGUAAAGGUACUUUCAGCAGUGAGGAAGGUGGGUAUGUUAAUAGCAUACUCAUUUGACGUUAGCUGCAGAAGAAGCACCGGCUAACUCCGUGCCAGCAGCCGCGGUAAUACGGAGGGUGCGAGCGUUAAUCGGAAUUACUGGGCGUAAAGCGCAUGCAGGUGGUUUGUUAAGUCAGAUGUGAAAGCCCGGGGCUCAACCUCGGAAUUGCAUUUGAAACUGGCAAACUAGAGUACUGUAGAGGGGGUAGGAAUUUCAGGUGUAGCGGUGAAAUGCGUAGAGAUCUGAAGGAAUACCGGUGGCGAAGGCGGCCCCCUGGACAGAUACUGACACUCAGAUGCGAAAGCGUGGGGAGCAAACAGGAUUAGAUACCCUCGGUAG